UACGUAGGGACCAAGCGUUGUUCGGAUUUACUGGGCGUAAAGGGCUCGUAGGUGGCCAAUUAAGUCAGGCGUGAAAUCCCCAGGCUCAACUUGGGAACUGCGUCUGAUACUGGUUGGCUUGAAUUCGGGAGAGGGAUGCAGAAUUCCAGGUGUAGCGGUGAAAUGCGUAGAUAUCUGGAGGAAUACCGGUGGCGAAGGCGGCAUCCUGGACCGAGAUUGACACUGAUGAGCGAAAGCCAGGGGAGCAAACGGG
rnacentral:rRNA from 1 species